rnacentral:rRNA from 1 species
UACGAAGGGGGCUAGCGUUACUCGGAAUCACUGGGCGUAAAGGGUGCGUAGGCGGGUCUUUAAGUCAGUGGUGAAAUCCUGGAGCUCAACUCCAGAACUGCCUUUGAUACUGAGGAUCUUGAGUUCGGGAGAGGUGAGUGGAACUGCGAGUGUAGAGGUGAAAUUCGUAGAUAUUCGCAAGAACACCAGUGGCGAAGGCGGCUCACUGGCCCGAUACUGACGCUGAGGCACGAAAGCGUGGGGAGCAAACAGG